rnacentral:rRNA from 1 species
AUGAGCCUAUCUGCCACUGGGAUAAUUAGUGCUGUCGAUGAUUGUGUCAAUUUGUUCCAGUGGACCAGAUCUGACAUUUCAUCUCUGCACUCCGGCUUGAGUGGCUCACAGCAAGAAAGUCUCCAGGAGCAUGUGUCGCGCUUACAGGGUGGCCUACAACGUCUCAGGGAUGCUCUUCCUGCAAUGUAUGACCUCAUUGACCGAGCAGAGCGGAGAGGCCAUGACACCCGUGUGGAAAACCUCCUUCCACUACUCAAAGAUACAGUGAAUGAGGUCGAGGACCUUCUUGAUGAGGCCAAAUGGUAUGAGGUGAAGGCGCAAGUUGAGGGCAAUGCAGCCCAAUCUCCUCCUCUCGUCGAGUUCAUCGAUGAUUUCAUCCAAGGCAGCAGCUUCGGCAAGCUGAGUCAUGUCCAAUCAAGGUUGAGGAAUCUUUCGAAUCAGCUGGAGAUCCUGGGGCUUGCUGAAGCUACACAACACGUUGACAGAUUAGUCAAGCCAAAGACCGGCUAUUUGCCAUGUGAAGACCUAUUGUUUUGUUAUUACAAGGAGCUAGCGAAGGUGAUGAGAUCUCCCACAAAUUCAAAACGUGAGAGAGCAACGAGUUUGGCCAAUGCAUCAACAAGCGCAUCAGCAAACAACCAAUUCAGUAACGGAUCAAGAAGAAUAUCGAGCCUUCCUGUUUUGGUAAUACAAGGAACUGGUGGUGUUGGAAAGACUACUUUGGCCCGACGUAUAUGGUUCAAUCAACCGGGGAAGCCUCGGAUCAUUUGGAUUCGUGUCUCAGAUGACUUUGAUGUGAAGAGGUUAACUAAAAAGGCCAUACAAUUCUGUACUGGGGAGGAGACAACAACCGAUGAUUUGGAUUCUCUCCAGCGUGACCUUUCUAAGCAUGUGAGCAAUAAAAGGUUAUUGGUAUUCCUUGAUGAUAUGCGGGAUGAUGCCUUGAAGGAAAAUGGGCAGUGUUGGAAGAGGUUUUGUGCACCUUUUAGGGAUGUCCGAGGGGGGAGCAUGAUUUUGGUCACUACUAGAUGUUCAGAGGUUACUGAGGGGGUGCGGACAAUGGAGCCCAUUAUCUUAGAUGGUCUAAAAGGUGAUGUCUUUUGGAAUUUUUUCAAAUUGUGCGUGUUUGGAGAUGGGAGGUCUGAGAUUGAUCCUGAGUUAGAGCGCAUCGGUAGAAGUAUACUUCCUAAAUUGAAGGGUUCUCCUUUGGCCGCCAAAACUUUGGGACGCAUGUUAAGCAUGGACCUUCAAGCAUCCCAUUGGAAUUCUAUACUUGAGAGUGAACUGUGGGAGUUGAGACAAGAGGAGGCUGACAUUUUUCCUGCUCUUCAGUUGAGCUACAUGCAUUUACCAUUCUAUUUGAAGCGAUGCUUCGCAUUCUGUUCUGUGUACCCCAAAGAUUACAAAUUCCAGAAGGCACGCUUAGCUGAAGUUUGGGUAGCAGAAGGCUUUGUGGAAUCUCAAGGUGGUGUUCCGAUUCAAGAUGUUGGCUGUCAGUAUUUUGAAGACCUUGUAACACGGUCCUUCUUUCAAAUGGUUCCUGGUGGAUACGUAAUCCCUGACCUAUUGCAUGACCUGGCACAAAAAGUUUCAGAGCACGACUGCUUAAUCUUAAGAAAUGAUAGUUGCUUUGAUAAAGUCCCACAGGAUGUUCGUCAUCUGUACGUACUCCCUAGCAGUGACUUUGAUGGUUCCAACUUGUUGAGACUGUGCAGAUGA